AUUGAACGCUGGCGGCAUGCCUAAUACAUGCAAGUCGAACGAGUGUCGGACGGGCGAGUAAUUUCUGGGAAACUGUCUGACGGACGGAUAUAACUACUGGAAACCGUAGCUAAUACCGCUUACCAUCCGAUCUGACCCUUUGGGAUUAGCUAGUAGGUGGGGUAAAGGCUCACCUAGGAGACGAUCCCUAGCUGGUCUGAGAGGAUCACCGGCUGCCCUGGAACUGAGACACGGUGCAGGCUCCUACGGGGGGCAGCAGUAGGGAAUUUUGGACAGUGGAGGCAAGCCUUAUGCAGCCAUGGCGCGUGAAUGAAGAAGGCCUUCGAGUUAUGAAGUUCUUUCAGCGGGGAGGCGUUAACAACAGAAGAAGCACCGGCUAACUCCGUGCCAGCAGCCGCGGUAAUAC
rnacentral:rRNA from 1 species